GAGGUUGAUCAUGGCUCAGAUUGAACGCUGGCGGCAGGCCUAACACAUGCAAGUCGAACGGUAACAGGAAGCAGCUUGCUGCUUCGCUGACGAGUGGCGGACGGGUGAGUAAUGUCUGGGAAGCUGCCUGAUGGAGGGGGAUAACUACUGGAAACGGUAGCUAAUACCGCAUAAUGUCGCAAGACCAAAGAGGGGGACCUUCGGGCCUCUUGCCAUCGGAUGUGCCCAGAUGGGAUUAGCUUGUUGGUGGGGUAACGGCUCACCAAGGCGACGAUCCCUAGCUGGUCUGAGAGGAUGACCAGCCACACUGGAACUGAGACACGGUCCAGACUCCUACGGGAGGCAGCAGUGGGGAAUAUUGUACAAUGGGCGCAAGCCCGAUGCAGCCAUGCCGCGUGUAUGAAGAAGGCCUUCGGGUUGUAAAGUACUUUCAGCGGGGAGGAAGGGAGUAAAGUUAAUACCUUUGCUCAUUGACGUUACCCGCAGAAGAAGCACCGGCUAACUCCGUGCUAGCAGCCGCGGUAAUACGGAGGGUGCAAGCGUUAAUCGGAAUUACUGGGCGUAAAGCGCACGCAGGCGGUUUGUUAAGUCAGAUGUGAAAUCCCCGGGCUCAACCUGGGAACUGCAUCUGAUACUGGCAAGCUUGAGUCUCGUAGAGGGGGGUAGAAUUCCAGGUGUAGCGGUGAAAUGCGUAGAGAUCUGGAGGAAUACCGGUGGCGAAGGCGGCCCCCUGGACGAAGACUGACGCUCAGGUGCGAAAGCGUGGGGAGCAAACAGGAUUAGAUACCCUGGUAGUCCACGCCGUAAACGAUGUCGACUUGGAGGUUGUGCCCUUGAGGCGUGGCUUCCGGAGCUAACGUUAAGUCGACCGCCUGGGGAGUACGGCCGCAAGGUUAAAACUCAAAUGAAUUGACGGGGGCCCGCACAAGCGGUGGAGCAUGUGGUUUAAUUCGAUGCAACGCGAAGAACCUUACCUGGUCUUGACAUCCACGGAAGUUUUCAGAGAUGAGAAUGUGCCUUCGGGAACCGUGAGACAGGUGCUGCAUGGCUGUCGUCAGCUCGUGUUGUGAAAUGUUGGGUUAAGUCCCGCAACGAGCGCAACCCUUAUCCUUUGUUGCCAGCGGUCCGGCCGGGAACUCAAAGGAGACUGCCAGUGAUAAACUGGAGGAAGGUGGGGAUGACGUCAAGUCAUCAUGGCCCUUACGACCAGGGCUACACACGUGCUACAAUGGCGCAUACAAAGAGAAGCGACCUCGCGAGAGCAAGCGGACCUCAUAAAGUGCGUCGUAGUCCGGAUUGGAGUCUGCAACUCGACUCCAUGAAGUCGGAAUCGCUAGUAAUCGUGGAUCAGAAUGCCACGGUGAAUACGUUCCCGGGCCUUGUACACACCGCCCGUCACACCAUGGGAGUGGGUUGCAAAAGAAGUAGGUAGCUUAACCUUCGGGAGGGCGCUUACCACUUUGUGAUUCAUGACUGGGGUGAGGUCGUAACAAGGUA
rnacentral:rRNA from 1 species